CGCCUGCGUGGGCCAGCGGUAGAUCGGCAGGCCGAAGGUCGACUCGGUGAUGAAGGUGUCGCAGGGCACGGGUUCGAAGGGCGCGCAGGUGCC
rnacentral:tRNA from 1 species